AAUAAACCGUUGAGGGAGAGGAGUACCUCUUUGUGAUUCAUAGGAGAGAGCCGCGAUGGUGGGAUGCGGUAUGAUAGCAAUUUGGGAAUGGACUCCUGAGGGCGUGAGGAAAUGACUGAGGUCAGAGUAUUGCACGACGUAAGGCAUACGUUAGUUGCCAGGGAUAUGAUGGUAUCCUGUUAAGCGCAUAGGAUUAUCCUAUGAAUUCAAGGUGGCACCGCGGAAAAGAAUUUUCGUCCUUGAU
rnacentral:ncRNA from 1 species